ensembl:lncRNA
CGGAGGAGGUGUGGUUUCUAGAAACGUCUUGCGUGGGGGAGAAGAGGUAUUUCCUCCCAACAGUGAAGCCAUGAGGCAACGUGGAAGCUCUGGCUUUCGGAAUGCGGAGGAAUGUACUUGCCAGGACAGACGCUGCUGUCACUAUGACCUUAGACAAGCGCCCCUUGUCACUGCAUGAUGAGGCAUAUGCUAUACUAUAUUUUUCAAAGAAAAUAGUAAUGGUUCUGGAAAGAACGAAAAUUUGUUAGAAGACAGGAUUCUGUGGACCAGAUGGACAUGGCUUCAGUCGUCAGCACAUUGUCAUGUUAAAUGACACAAAACUUAACAAUUGGAUAACAGCUCAUGCACUAAAUUAAGAUGUGAAAUGUUAACCUCACCAAAUUUGCCCAACGGAAGUUGUGAAGACAACAGACACCUCCAUGACAACCCAAAGUACCACAGGGAAAUGAAAAGCUGUGGAUUCUUUCAAAGUUAAUUAAGAUUGGGUUUGACAAUGGAAGACCUCCAGAAAAUCUUGGCUGCUGAUGUGGAAAAAGAGACCCAGAAGAACAACCAAACAGAGUACUGAAUGUGUAUGUGUGCGCACUCCUGUGCUUGUGUGUUUGAUCCUUUUAUUCUUAAAAGCCUAGUGUAAGAAGUCUGUUUUGAUGAGUGUUCAGGGGCAAGAUAAGUAAUUUUUUACAAAUAAGUGUAUGUUCUGCAUCUUUAAGUUAAAACAUAGCUCAAAAAGUCUUUGUCUUUCAGACAUUGACUAAUAACAUUGACUUUUGUUGUGGGAAAAAAACCAAGGUGCUUCAGUUCUAGAAGACCUACGAUUUGUUACAUGUACUGAAAACUUUGGUGCUCGUAUGUAAUUUUAUGUCAUCCUUAAGCAGAUGAGAUUCAGGAUUUGUUAAGAACUAGAAUUGAUUGCUGGGUCGAAUGUAGCUGCUUCCCAGAUGAUUUGAGGUUUGUUUGUUUGUUUGUUUGUUUGUUUGUUUGUUUGUUUGUUUUGAAGGGAUUAUGUAAUUGUAAUCAAACUUUUAUUUUGGGCACCAGGGAUAUAGGUCUUGAUUGUAAGAGUGCUUUACCUGACAUAUACAAAGCUCUAGGUUCAAAAACCAGAACCAGUUUUGUUGUUACUAUUUAGAGCAUACUCUGUGGUGUAUGUGUGGCUGUCGAUAUGAUUUUUUCUUUUCCCUGUAAGAUUUUGUUGUUGGUUUUAGGACCACAUGAAUGAUGGUUUUCAUUCACAAGUAACUCAAACUAGAAGGACAGCAUAUUUCAGGAUCUGGAUUAAAGUAGGUGGAUUAUUUAAUGACAGUCCUGCAAAGAUGUAUGCCUAGGGAGCUGAGUGUGAGUAAGAUUCAUAACACGAUUGAGCAUGGAAAGUUAAUCUAAAUGCCUUAAUGGAUUUGGAUAAUUGGGGUUUUGUUUUUGUUUGUUUGUUUGUUUGUUUGUUUUUGGUUUUGUGUUUUGAGACAGACAUGUAAUCCUGACUGUCUUGGAAUCCCUCUGUGGAUUAACCCAGAGAUCCUCCUGCCCCUGCCUGUCCAGUGCUGAGAUUUAAGGCAAGGACCAUCAUAAAAGGAACAUAGACCGCAGAACAGAGAGCUUGUUGUAGCUGGUUCUUAAUGCAUGUGAGUGUAUACACCAGGUCCUCAAUUGUGUUUUCAGUGCCACGUAACAAGUUAAAGAAAAAACGCAAAAGUAGGUAUAUGUUGGUGAAGGCUUUUAAGAAUAAUAAUGAUCUUAAAAGCCAUUCAAGUUCAGUGGAAGACUGACUGAGAGUGAUUGAGCAAGGCUGUUUCAGAGAGAAGACUUGUUGGGAACGGAUGCCUAGCAAAAGGUGGGAUCAGAAAAGUUGAGAGCCUGUAUUAUCAGAGCUGCUGGAACCAGCCACACACAGGCAUCCUAUGGAGCCCUCGCCCUCCGCAGAUUUUUAGAUGGCUUUGAGUCUGAGGUAUGAACAUAAAUUAAAGGUGAUUUUUACUUUUGUCGUUGACUUUUGUUUUGAGAUAAGGUUUCACUACUUAAUAUUCUUGGCUGGCUUGGAACUCACUACUGUCAACCAGGCUAGCCUCAAAUUGACAGAAAUCUACCUGCUUCUGCUCAUAAAGCUGGGGUGAAGAACAUUGGCCAUCAUACACAUCUUAAGAUAUUUUUAUUUGGCUUAUUUUCUCAGCUUUAUAAGUUAUACACAUUUUCUUAACCCUUCAUUAGCCUUUUAAUGUCUGGGUUUUUUGUUCAGUUUUGAGACAGGAUCUCUUUAUGUAGCUAGGCCUGGCAUGUGGCCUUCGUCCCUCUGUGGCCCUAGUGCUAGUAUCAUCCACUGUACCUGGAUUUUUUAUUAUUUUUUCCUUUUUUUUUUUUUGUUUUGUUUUGUUUUUGUUAAUUCUCCUACUGAUCCCCACUUCUAUUUUGAUGUAUUCUAUUGUCUGCGCCAUGUCAAGGGUUUUUCCUCUCCCAUGCAAUGAGUUUACUUGGGUUUGCAUGUGGGCACGCUUCCAGUGACUAUUCAUUUCCUCUAUCAGGCAUUAACCAUCUAAGUAUUGUUAGAAUGAAGCCCAUAAGACCCUUCCUAACAGGAAGUUGACAGACCCUAUCUUGUUCACAUCUUGAGUAGAGGAUAUCAUAGCUACUGUGGAGUUUAAGGGUCCAACAAUAGGUCAGUGUUUUAUGUCUUGGCUUCCUCUGGUUCUUACAUUCUUUCUGCCUCUUCUGCCGUGUACCUGAGCCUUGAAGUGGGUUAUAUAAAUGUCCAUUGAACUGGGCACUCAACAGUCACAUAUUCUCAGCACUUGACUUAGCAAGCCUUCCCAAAGACCUUGGAGGAAGAGCGAGGACCAACCACCAUGUGGUUAGUCUCUGCCAAAAUGCUUUCCUGUGACCUUGCUACAUUACCCAAGCAGCUCUUGCUUCCUCUACAUUCUAGCACUUUUAGAAUCCCACCCUAUAGUGUUAAAAUAACCAGUGAAAUUAUAUGUUGCCAUGUAUGGGAAAUAAACAAAAAUCAUAAAAGGUUGUAAACAGUUCAGUCAAGUCUGUGCUACCACAAAUAAAAGCUGUUUUCUUGAAGUAGUGUCCCGUCUCUUUGUUCAGAAUCCCAUAGGUCUUGAUUUCAUUUUCCCUUUCACCAGGCUGAGACCUGGUGCCCAUCCCACCUUGCAAGGGUAGAGACCCCUGAGGCACAGCAGAACUUUGUAAGUACCAGAAACCAGAAGGAGGAGGAGCCUGAUCAUCUCCUGGAACCCUAAAACUUGCCCAAGUAAUCUAAUAUAAGUUGAAGCUGCACCGUGUCUCAGGUAGAAUGGUGGACUGGAAAUGUGUGAGUGUGUCUGGAUGAAGUGGUCACUUGACCACACAGGCCAAAGCAAUAGUCAGGUCAGCUCCAGUUCAUAGUGAACCAUAGUUCCGUAUUGGGGAUCCAAAACAAGGAUUUCUUAAUUAUUUUAUGUGUGUGAGCACACCGUUGCUGUCUUCAGACAGAAAAGAGCAUUAGAUUCCAUUACAGAUGGCUGUGAGCCACCAUGUGGUUGCUAGGAAUUGAACUCAGGACCUCUGGAAGAGCAGUCAGUGCUCUUAACCACUGAGCCAUCUUUCUAGCCCAGUCUGGGAUUUAUUUCAUCCAUCCAUCCAUCCAUCCGUCCAUCCAUCCAUCCUUCCUUCCUUCCUUCUUUCCUUCCUUCCUUAUCUAUUUCCUAAUAAUUCCAUUUGUUUACAUCUCAAAUGAUAUCCCCCUUUCCCGCUUACCCCUCCAAAAACCCUCAUCAUACAUCUGCCCUCUCUCCCCUUCCCUCAGUCUGGGACUUCUUAACCACUAAGACAAAGAACCUGAAAUAUCCCCAAGAGAGGAGCAGCUAAUAAUGAAUGAAGCAAAAAAGUUCAUCCUUUUUCCCCCCUCUGCCCUCUGUGUAUAUGAGUUUUGUGUUUCAUUGAAGUGUUAGUAGCUGUCAUAGGGACUCUUGGGAUGGAAAUCGUGGCCCGAGUCUGGACAAACCACACUAGGCCAACACGGUUCCACGUGGAGAGAUUAUUGGGGUGGCAGAGAUGGGGGGGGGGGGUUAAGAGAGGGAGAAGAGAGAGAAAAGAGGAAGCGGG